GAUGAACGCUAGCGGCAGGCCUAAUACAUGCAAGUCGAACGGUAACAUGAGUAGCAAUACUUGAUGACGAGUGGCGCACGGGUGCGUAACGCGUAUGCAAUCUACCUUUAACUGGUGAAUAGCCCGAAGAAAUUCGGAUUAAUACACCAUAGUAUAUUUCUGUAGCAUUACUAGAAUAUUAAAGUCCCAACGGUUAAAGAUGAGCAUGCGUGACAUUAGCUAGUUGGUGAGGUAAUGGCUCACCAAGGCUACGAUGUCUAGGGGAUCUGAGAGGAUUAACCCCCACACUGGUACUGAGACACGGACCAGACUCCUACGGGAGGCAGCAGUAAGGAAUAUUGGACAAUGGUCGCAAGAACUGAUCCAGCCAUGCCGCGUGAAGGAUGACGG
rnacentral:rRNA from 1 species